rnacentral:rRNA from 1 species
UACAGGUGGCACGAGUGGUGUCCGCGAAUAUUGAGCUUAAAGCGCCCGUAGCCGGCUCGUCAAGUUUCCCGUCAAAUCUCUCUACUUAACAGAGAGGCGUGCGGGAAAUACUAGCGGGCUCGAGAGUGGGGGAAGCCAAGAGUACGUUAGGGGGAGCGGUAAAAUGCUUUAAUCCUUAACGGACUACCAGUGGCGAAAGCGCUUGGCUAAAACACGUCUGACGGUGAGGGACGAAGGCUAGGGGAGCAAACGG